rnacentral:rRNA from 1 species
ACUGUCGAGGCUUGGGAUCGGGAGAGGUAUGAGGUACUUCAGGGGUAGGGUAAAAUCCUGUAAUCCUUGGAGGACCACCGGUGGCGAAGGCGUCAUACUAGAACGAAUCCGACGGUGAGGGACGAAGCCCUAGGUCGCAAACGGGAUUAGAUACCCCGGUAGUCUAGGGUGUAAAACGCUGCAGACUAGGUGUUGGAGGCCCUACGGGGGCACCCAGUGCCCGAGAGAAGUUGUUAAGUCUGCUACUUGGGGGAGUACGUCCGCAAGGAUGAAACUUAAAGGAAUUGGCGGGGGAGCACCGCAAACGGGGAGGAGCGUGCGGUUUAAUUGGAUUCAACACCGGAAAACUCACCAAGGGAGACCAUCACAUGAAAGCCAGGCUAAUGACUUUGCUUGAUUCUUGGAGGAGUGGUGCAUGG